UACAGAGGUCUCAAGCGUUGUUCGGAUUCAUUGGGCGUAAAGGGUGCGUAGGCGGCCCGGUAAGUCAGUGGUGAAAUCUCCUUGCUUAACAAGGAAACUGCCAUUGAUACUGCUGGGCUUGAGUACAGAUGCUGUGGGCGGAAUAUGACAUGUAGUGGUGAAAUACAUAGAGAUGUCAUAGAACACCGAUUGCGAAGGCAGCUCACAAAACUGUAACUGACGCUGAGGCACGAAAGUGCGGGGAUCAAACAGG
rnacentral:rRNA from 1 species